ACGGGUGCGUAACGCGUGGGAAUCUACCCUUAGGUUCGGAAUAACAGUUGGAAACGACUGCUAAUACCGGAUGAUGACGUAAGUCCAAAGAUUUAUCGCCUAGGGAUGAGCCCGCGUAGGAUUAGCUAGUUGGUGUGGUAAAGGCGCACCAAGGCGACGAUCCUUAGCUGGUCUGAGAGGAUGAUCAGCCACACUGGGACUGAGACACGGCCCAGACUCCUACGGGAGGCAGCAGUGGGGAAUAUUGGACAAUGGGCGAAAGCCUGAUCCAGCAAUGCCGCGUGAGUAAUGAAGGCCUUAGGGUUGUAAAGCUCUUUUACCCGGGAUGAUAAUGACAGUACCGGGAGAAUAAGCUCCGGCUAACUCCGUGCCAGCAGCCGCGGUAAUACGGAGGGAGCUAGCGUUAUUCGGAAUUACUGGGCGUAAAGCGCACGUAGGCGGCUUUGUAAGUUAGAGGUGAAAGCCUGGUGCUCAACACCAGAACUGCCUUUGAUACUGCAUCGCUUGAAUCCAGGAGAGGUGAGUGGAAUUCCGAGUGUAGAGGUGAAAUUCGUAGA
rnacentral:rRNA from 1 species